rnacentral:rRNA from 1 species
GUGCCAGCCGCCGCGGUAAUACGUAGGGGGCGAGCGUUGUCCGAAUUCACUGGGCGUAAAGCGCGCGUAGGCGGCUUGUUAAGUUGGAGGUGAAAUCCCGGGGCUCAACCCCGGAACUGCCCCCAAAACUGGCAGGCUUGAGGUAUGGAGAGGGAAGUGGAAUUCCAGGUGUAGCGGUGAAAUGCGUAGAUAUCUGGAGGAACACCCGUGGCGAAGGCGGCUUCCUGGUCAUAUCCUGACGCUGAGGUGCGAAAGCUAGGGGAGCGAACGGGAUUAGAUACCCGUGUAGUCC